AGAGUUUGAUCAUGGCUCAGAAUCAACGCUGGCGGCGCGCUUAACACAUGCAAGUCGCACGAGAAAGCAGGAGCAAUCUUGUGAGUAAAGUGGCGUACGGGUGAGUAACACGUGGAUCAUCUACCUUCUAGUGGGGAAUACCCCCGGGAAACUGGGGACAAUACCGCAUAAGCUCGUGAGAGGAAAGCAGCAAUGCGCUGGAAGAGGAGUCCGCGGCUGAUUAGCUAGUUGGCGGGGUAAUGGCCCACCAAGGCGAAGAUCGGUAGCCGGCCUGAGAGGGCACACGGCCACACUGGCACUGAAACACGGGCCAGACUCCUACGGGAGGCAGCAGUGGGGAAUCUUGCACAAUGGAGGAAACUCUGAUGCAGCGACGCCGCGUGAGCGAUGAAGCCCCUCGGGGUGUAAAGCUCUUUCGACGGGAACGAUAAUGACGGUACCCGAAGAAGAAGCUGCGGCUAACUACGUGCCAGCAGCCGCGGUAAUACGUAGGCAGCAAGCGUUGUUCGGAAUUACUGGGCGUAAAGAGUGUGUAGGCGGUGCUCCAAGUCUGUUGUGAAAUCUCCCGGCUUAACCGGGAGGGUGCGGCGGAAACUGGUGUGCUAGAGGGUGGGAGAGGUAAGCGGAAUUCCUGGUGUAGCGGUGAAAUGCGUAGAUAUCAGGAGGAACACCUGUGGUGUAGACAGCUUACUGGACCACUUCUGACGCUGAGACACGAAAGCGUGGGUAGCAAACAGGAUUAGAUACCCUAGUAGUCC
rnacentral:rRNA from 1 species